AGCAAGUGAGCUUUGCCCACAGAUGACCUGGAAGGUAAAACUAAGGGGGCUGGACUGUUAGAUCUGUCGUGAGAUAGUCAUUGGCUACGUGUGAAGCUUGUUCUUGCCACCUAGUACACCAUCUGGAGAGAUUUCAGAUUCCAAGUGGCAGCAGGAUCGUCUGAUGCUAGUCCAGUCAAGUCUUCAGAGCUGACAGAGGCCACCAACUCAUUUCUCACAGGCCACUAAACAGCUGUCAGAUGGUGUAGGUGCAGCUGUCGUGCAAGGACAUAGGUGCAAAGAACAACACAGAUGGCAACAGCUUUCAACCUGGACUGGCAACCUAGGGAUUAAAGGCACCACAUGCCAGUAACAAUCCUGAAGCCAGAAUUUUAAGGAUGAGACUGCUAGGUCUCAUUGUGAGAGGCAGAGAUAUCCAGACAUCUCUCUACUUAUGUGCAGCUGUAGCCAAGGAACAGUUAGACGAUAGAGGCAGAGGAAAUCCUACUGAAACAGCAAUCUGAAGAAUGUGUACUUACUUAUUGAGAGGCAAACAGAGGGAAACCUGCUGUACUACUUGAAGUAAUCUACUUCCUCUUGGGCCAGGCAUAUUAAAAAAAGACCAAGUCUACAAAGUUUAUCAGAGAAACCAAUAUCAUAGAUACUGGAAUGGCCUCAGAGUGGACCUUUCCCUCGUCCUUCAAUGCUUUACUCAGUUACACUGGAUUAAAAAAAACAACAACCCACCAUUGUAAUGGGAACCCACCUAAACAGUUUACGUUUGACGUCUUCUUGGGCUGGAUUUCUUGGGUGUUUGCUCCACUGAACUGGCACUCGGGGAUUCUUCUGAAACCUCUUCUUCUGUUGUGUUGGCUCUUUUAGGUUGAGGAGAAGAAUCUGGGGGGAGGGGACAUUGAAAGAAACAAAAAGAAAAGUGAAAACUUGAUAUUAAAUAUAUUUGCUGCCAGAUGUUUGCGCUGCAUGGGAUAACGGGGGACUGGAGGACCCUGAAUAUUUAUGACCCUCAGGGUCAACUAUCGAAGGAAAUGAAAGAGAUGGGGAGGAGCGGGUUUUUUUGGUUAAAUAAAGAUACAAGUUUCUUGUUUUGUCCAAAAUAUCCUUCUACACUUUGCUUCAUAUGUGUUAUGAAACUUGUACUAUUUAAAAAAGUCAAAAGGAUGCAGAGUUCACAUACCGAUUACUACAGUUGCGGGGAGCGGAAGGUGGUGUUAGUUUGUAAGGGCAUUUGGUUGCAAAUGAUCCAUGGGCUCCAGAAGCCAAUUUAACUUAAGAUUCCCAGGAGUACAGACAGUCCUGGGUUUUUAAACUAAGAGGGGUAUAUGUGAAAACGCUGCCUGCCAGUAAACCAGUAGAACAGUUUAUACAGGACAUGAGCGUGAGGUGUACAGCGCUAACUACCACAGACAAGGAUACAGUACAGAAAGCAAAAAGCUUUUGUUUUAUAAGAGUACGUUACCAUCCGUCGUUGGUCGUUUUCUUUGCCCAGUGCACUGGUCUGCUAAGUCCGUUUGAUUUUCAGAUACAUCAGUUUUUUGCUCUACAGAGUGAGUGUCCUCUGAGAUUCCCUGAGAACCGACUACAAUCACCGUUGGGCAGUUUCCAUUUACAUCCAAACUCUCAUGGGUGGCAGAUUUGCAAGCGACUUUGGGGGGCCUCGGGGGUCUGAAGUAGAAGUCGGGCGAGCUCCCUUGCUCCACGGCUUGCCACUCUAACCUGCCGGCCAGGGGCUUGUGAUUCUGGAAAUCAAAAUUCCACUUCCUUUGACAUGCCUCUUCCAUCUCCUUGCGGUGCUUCUUUAAGUCCCUGUUUAACUCUUCGUGAUUCACGGGCCCAAAGAGGUUCCUGCAAGCAGAAGGCUUGGGAUACUCCGACUGCCGGGCUUCCAUCCGCUCCAGGGUCGGGCUCCCAUUCGAAAUACGCACGUUUGACAUUUCCCCCCACCCUCUUUCUUCUGGCGGCGGUGGCUGUUUUUCUCUUUCGCUACGUGCAAAUAUUUUCUUCCUUGC